rnacentral:sRNA from 1 species
AUUAAUUUUUGGACAUUUUUUGUCAAUUAUGGAACUUUUUACUAAUUAUAAGGUAUUUUUGUUAAUUAUGGGGCAUUUUUGUUAAUUUUGGGGUAGUUUUGCUAAUUUCGAGGCUUAAACAAAACAAAAAUAUCUGCAAAUGGGUCGCAAAAAUUUAAGACCCAAUACAAAUGUUUCAUAAUAAUUGGUGAAAGUUGGACCUAAGUUUAUAUGAAAUCAUGUGGUCUAGAACUUAUACUAGAAUAUAUUUCAACAUUAGUCCACAACAUCAAUCUGAAUAUAAGGGUGAGUUUCAAACUUUUCUUUAGGCAUAUAUUAUGUUCACAUCAGAUAAAAAUUACAUUGAGUGGCUCGUGAAUACACUCAACAGAGUUUUUUUUAACAUUAAAACAUGCAUAGAAUUUUUUCAAAUAAUUUUCUCGUACAAAAUAUGCAACAAAUAAUGAUAAACAUAUUUUUAAAUGCAAAAUAGUUUUAUAU